GGUAGCCAUAAAUUACAAAUGGAUUGAGGGUAGGGCUACUAACAACACGAACCGUUUGGGAAGCUGCAUCAUACAAUCCGCCAAAGAACAUUGCUUUUGCAGCUAAUAGUAACGCUCCAGCGCCUAAGAACAGCAGAUGAUGUCCUAAGAUGAAGCCCAACUUCUUCGGAUCGUUCCA
rnacentral:antisense_RNA from 1 species